UCAAUGCUGGCACUCAAAACUACGAGUUAAUCUGGUAGAGUUAUGGAGAAAGCAUUUGCUAGACAUUUCAUACAAUUACUAAGGAUUAUAACAAUGUGGUGCAGCAGUGGAAAUUCCAACUACUUACUUCAAACAGCUGCAGUGUUAUAUGAGUCAGAGGACAUUGACACACUGGAGCCUGGUUGUUAACAACAUUUGGACCUGAAGAUGUGCAGAGGGUUAUGUAGGCGACCCAACUGAGGCUGGGGGUUCAUGCUGACGCAAGGAGGAGGAGGUGGACAGCCAUCCCAAUGUGGUUGUCUCCCCUGAUUGAGUGGAGGGGCCAGAUUAAACCUCAUGUGUUGUUUAUCAGGUAGGAAUUGGCAGGUUUAAGACCUUUAAUGGACAGAGUUCCUAGCUCUAACUGAUUGUGCAAACACGAAUCCUCGCUACUCUACUGACCUUGUACGAGAUGACAUUGGCAGAUUCUGCUUAAUUUUACUUGUUGAAUAAAAAG